AUGAAGUUGCGUGCAAAGGAGCUGAUGGACGGGAUCCCAGGUGAGAUUCGCUUCCAUCAGAAGGGGAGAGUGGCGGCCGAAAGAGGCAACAGCGACAAUCAGGAGGUACUGCCAUAUAUUAGGAGAUCUUCUCCAAAGGAAGUGCUCCCGUCCAUAGUAGGAUUUGUGGAUUUGAGUGCUAAUGUUUUGGAAAGAAAUGCUGCUGAUCAGAUUCCUAGAGAGAUUUUCUCAUUGAGAAUUAUAGAAAAGGAAGAGGGAAAUCAGGGGAGGGCUUUUAUCUGCACAUAUAGGGGGAAGAGAGAAAUUAGGGGGAUUUUAAGUAGGAAACUGCUCUUUCAAGACCCAUUAUUUUUCUUUAAAUGCACGAAUUUCGUCCCGUUUGUGGUGAAGAGACACUAUUAUAACACCGAGGGGGAUUGCUCGAGGUCGCAGUUCAUCAUACAGGAAAAAAGUCUAUUUCUUCCUAUCGGGUUUUCUUGUCUAGACCUGCUAGUUUGGGGAAAAGGGGAGAGAUGGAGAGGAAAGGGGAGACAUAGGAGGUAG
rnacentral:rRNA from 1 species